GAUGAACGCUGGCGGCGUGCCUAAUAUAUGCAAGUCGAGCGAACAGACCAGGAGCUUGCUCCACUGACGUUAGCGGCGGACGGGUGAGUAACACGUGGAUAACCUACCUAUAAGACUGGGAUAACAUCGGGAAACCGGAGCUAAUACCGGAAAAUAUAUUGAACCGCAAUGUUCAAUAGUGAAAGUGGGUUUUGCUGAUAAGUAAAGAUGGAUCCGGGCCGAAUUAGCUACUUGGUAAGGGAACUGCUUACCCAGGAAAGGAUGAGUAUCCGACCUGAGAGGGUGACAGGCCACGCUGGAACUGAGACACGGUACAGACUCCUACGGGAAGCAGCCGUAGAGAAUCUUCCGCAAUGGGCGAAAGCCUAACGGAGCAAAGCCGCGUGAGUGCUGAAGAUCUUAGGAUCGGUAAACGCUGUUAUUAGGGAAGAACAAAUGUGUAAGUAACUAUGCACGUCUUGACGGUACCUAAUCAGAAAGCCACGGCUAACUACGUG
rnacentral:rRNA from 1 species